AUGGCGGGUGUGAGCUCCCUGAAGCGUAGUCAUAUUUGGCGAGUGGGAAACGGGCAGAAUAUUGACAUUUGGGAGGACGCAUGGAUUCCAAAUUGUGCAAACCGUAAAAUUGUUACCCCUAAGGGAGGCCAGUUGUUACGGAAGGUAGCAGAUUUGAUUGAUCCAAUCCUAAAUAGUUGGGAUGAAGAUCUUCUCACACAGACUCUAUGGCCUAUUGAUGUUCAGCGAGUGCUUACGAUCCCGAUAUCGCAACAUGAUAUGCCAGAUUUCAUAGCUUGGAAUUUCACAAAAAAUGGGACUUUUUCAGUUCGGUCUUCUUAUUUUGUGGAAUGGGACCACCAAUAUGGGAACAAGUUACGACAUACCAAUGGGAUGGGACGUACCACGGUCAAUCCUAUUUGGGCGAGGAUUUGGAAGCUUGCUUGUCCAGCAAAGGUUAAAAUAUUUAUUUGGCGUACACUUCACAACACUAUUCCGUGUAGUGUUAACUUAGCUAAUAGACAUGUGAAAGUCUCGCCUAAGUGUCCUGCCUGCUCAUCUGGGCCAGAAGACACAAAACACUUGUUGUUUCUAUGUGACAGAGCAAAAGAAGUCUGGAGAAGACUAGGGAUGGACGAUAUUAUCGACAGAGCUUGUAAAAUAGACUAUGCGGGUGAGGCAAUCUUGGAAUAUUUACUUUCAUUACCAGAUCAGGAACUAUGUAUUAUGGGCACUCGUAAUGUGCGUGACAUGAUUGCCAUAUCAGCCUGGUACUUGUGGUGGGAAAGGCUCAAAUUGGUACACAAUGAGACUACUCAGAAUGCACAACAGAUAUCCAUGGGGAUACGCGCUCUCGCUGCCAAUUUUGUUAAUGCCUCCUCGUCGAAGGCUUCCAUUAAAAGAGGAGGAUGGUCUAAUCCCCCGACGGGAUUUGUUAAACUUAAUGUUGAUGCUUCUUUUGAUCACGACCUUCUCAGGGGUACGAUCGGGGCUGUCUUAAGAGAUGACAAAGGUAGGUUCAUCGGUGGGGGAAAUGAUAAGAUUGACUGA
rnacentral:rRNA from 1 species